rnacentral:rRNA from 1 species
AGCGAACGCUGGCGGCAGGCCUAACACAUGCAAGUCGAACGAAGUCUUCGGACUUAGUGGCGGACGGGUGAGUAACACGUGGGAACGUGCCUUUAGGUUCGGAAUAACUCAGGGAAACUUGUGCUAAUACCGAAUGUGCCCUUCGGGGGAAAGAUUUAUCGCCUUUAGAGCGGCCCGCGGCUGAUUAGCUAGUUGGUGAGGUAAAGGCUCACCAAGGCUACGAUCAGUAGCUGGUCUGAGAGGAUGACCAGCCACAUUGGGACUGAGACACGGCCCAAACUCCUACGGGAGGCAGCAGUGGGGAAUCUUGCGCAGUGGGCGAAAGCCUGACGCAGCCAUGCCGCGUGGAUGAUGAAGGUCUUAGGAUUGUAAAAUCCUUUCACCGGUGAAGAUAAUGACUGUAGCCGGAGAAGAAGCCCCGGCUAACUUCGUGCCAGCCGCCGCCGUAAAAC